rnacentral:rRNA from 1 species
UACGUAGGUGGCAAGCGUCUGUCCGGAAUUAUUGGGCGUAAAGCGCGCGCAGGCGGCCUCUUAAGUCUGAUGUGAAAGCCCCCGGCUCAACCGGGGAGGGCCAUUGGAAACUGGGAGGCUUGAGUAUAGGAGAGAAGAGUGGAAUUCCACGUGUAGCGGUGAAAUGCGUAGAGAUGUGGAGGAACACCAGUGGCGAAGGCGACUCUUUGGCCUAUAACUGACGCUGAGGCGCGAAAGCGUGGGGAGCAAACAGG